GACGAACGCUGGCGGCGUGCCUAACACAUGCAAGUCGAGCGAAUGAAGUUCCUUCGGGAAUGGAUUUAGCGGCGGGCGGGUGAGUAACACGUGGGCAACCUGCCUCAUAGAGGGGAAUAGCCUCCCGAAAGGGAGAUUAAUACCGCAUAAGAAUGUAGUACCGCAUGAUACAGCAAUUAAAGGAGUAAUCCGCUAUGAGAUGGGCCCGCGGCGCAUUAGCUAGUUGGUGAGGUAAUGGCUCACCAAGGCGACGAUGCGUAGCCGACCUGAGAGGGUGACCGGCCACAUUGGGACUGAGACACGGCCCAGACUCCUACGGGAGGCAGCAGUGGGGAAUAUUGCACAAUGGGGGAAACCCUGAUGCAGCAACGCCGCGUGAGUGAUGACGGCCUUCGGGUUGUAAAGCUCUGUCUUCAGGGACGAUAAUGACGGUACCUGAGGAGGAAGCCACGGCUAACUACGUG
rnacentral:rRNA from 1 species